AUUCCAGGUUGACUCCACCAGCGAGAAUCACAGGCGCCGCUGCCGCCUCGCCUCGGGCGUGGACCCUGCGGCUCGGGCCUGCGCGUGUGCACCCCGAGGUUGUCUCACUUCCUGUUCAGGGCGACCAGCGCUGCGCCCUCCCCACUCCACAGAUGAGGAAGCUGAGGUUAAAGUCACUUGCCCCAGGUCACUCCGCAAGUUGAAGCGCAACCAGGAUACUCUGGAACAGGAUGCCUGACUUCAGAGGAGAGGCGCGUAACCACCAGGCAACUGGCCCCACGAAAACAAGUCCCGCAACUUCCCUUCUUUGGCUCCUACUUGCUCCCGGAAGAAAAGCCUUAAACGGUAUUCAAGCCCUUUAGGAUCUGAUGUCCUAGGACUCCACUCUGGGCUUCCAGCCUGGGGUGGUACUGGUCCCUAGGCAUGGAAGCUCCUCCCACUGCCCCUUCCUUCACCCGGCCACCUCCUCCCACAGGUGUCUUCCUGGUACUCUUGCACAGGCCCGAGUCCCUUACCACCACGGCCUUAGCCUGCUCUCGUGCUCUCAGUAAUGUUUUCUCCAUUUGCUGCCUUUCAUUCUUUCCAGAGAUUCUUGCUCAACCCAACCAGGCCAGCCCGGGGACUAGGGACAUGUAGGGACAAUAGUCCCUGCUUCAGGCAGUUCAGGGCAGACCACAGAGAUGUGACAUUACAGACCAUUGUGAGCAGAGGCCUUGUCCCAUUCUGUGUUGCAUCCCUAAGCCAGGAACAAAGUCCAGCCCAGGCCUGGCUCCAGGGGACACGCAGUAGUAUCCUCUGGCCUGUGCAAGUGUAUCUGUAGCCUCACAUGCCACCAUGUGAGUCUGCAAUCUGUCUGUGAAUGCCCUGGUGUAGAAGCCAGGAGUUUGGAGGUGGGAGGGAGCCCUACAGAAUGAUAGCCAGUGCUAACUCCUGGGAAUGUCCAGCCACUAAGACCUGCCCACAGCCCUGCCAUGCCAAUGUCCUCCUUUUCACGGGAGCAGCUUGCACAGACUUUCAGCGCACAGCUGGCAUUGUCUUCCCAGGAGCCAUCCUGUAACCCAGGCCAGGUGAAGGGCUCCUCCCUGGGACCCCACAGCCCCGUUCCCAUCAUCCUUUUGUGGUGAUCAAGGCACCCAUCACACAGUAUUGCCAUAAACCGGGUCAGGUUAACCUUUCAUUCCCUUAGGAGCUGGGUGGGGGCAGCCAAAAGUAUUUGUAGGAGGAAGAGAGAAAGGAGGGGACAGAGCUAGGAAGAAUGGGAGGACGGUCAGAACGCCCCUGUGAAGGAAGGAGAGCACCAAGUCCCCGUGUUCUGCCUACCCUCCCCCAGACAGCAGAUCAGGAGCACCCCGCGCGCCCCCCCCCGCCCCGCCCCGCGUCGGCGCCGGCCCCCUGCAAUGGUUGGCGGUAUGGGGAGGUGAACCAAGAAGGCCAGGAGUUCAAGUGCGUGAUCCCCCACUGGGGCAUAUAGGUUACAGCCGCCAGGGCAACUGAAACUCCUCAGGCUCCAGAGGGCUGAAGUGAGUCGCCUCCACGUUCUUGAGGUGCUUCCGAGCCAGGAACAGUGCGAGGCGCCGGCGCCGCCGCGAGCUCAGGCCCUGGCCCACCAGCCAUGGGAAGGCGGGUCCGUGUGGCCCCAGGGCCUCCUCGCCCUCCAGCUCCUCUUCGCAGCGUGCACGGUAGGAGCGCAGCAGCGCCAGGCACCAGUCCUCGUCCACGCGGUAGCGUGCAUAGAAGGCGGCCUCCUGCGCCAAGCUGCCAGCGCGCAGCCAGCGGGUGACGACGGCGCGGCCCUCUCGCGCCAUCACGACGGGGUAGCGGUGCUCCAGCAGGCGCAGCAGCAGCUCAUUGCCCCGGUUGCCCUCCACGUCACCAGGUGACAGGGGGCGCAGGCGGCCCGAAGUGCUGACCACGUCAUCCUGCGUGCGUCGGAGCAGCAGCACCGGCCCCGGGUAGCAGCACAGCUGCUCGGCCACGUUGAGGUUGAAGUGCUCGCGCACGGUGCGCACCACCAGCCCCUUCCAACUGUGGGGCAUGACCUUCAGCGCCAGCGGCACAAGGUCGUCGAAGGUGGCGUCCAGCACCAGUGCACCCAGCUCCGGGUAGGUCAUGGUGGCCCAGGUGGCCGUGAAGCCGCCAACAGACCAGCCGUAGACCACCAGGUGCGCGGGCGGGAAGUGCAGGCGGUGCAGUGCGUACUCGACCACCACGUCCAUGGCGUUGGCGUCGUGCUGAGGGAAGGGCACGCCAGUGCUGCUGCCGAAGCCGGGGUGGUUCCAGCCCAGCACGGAGUAGCCGGCCUCGAGCGGUGCAGACAGACAGCCCAUCUCGUAGAAGCCCGCGUUGCCUUCGCAGCAGAUGACGAGGCGCGGCCCGUGCACGUGGCUGCCCGGGUGCUGGCGGCGGUCCAUGAACAUAGUGUCGAUCUCGUUGCCGUCACAGGCCACCAGCUUGGCGCGCCGGCCGUGGUAGCGCUCCACGAGGCGCUCUUGGCCCUGCUGCAGCAGCGGCAGCAGCGCGCGCGUCAUCAGGGACACGGAGCCGGGGUACACGAGCCAGCGGCCCAGCGAGUGGGCCAGCGCGUAGCUAGCGAGCUGGCCGGGCAGCUCGCGGAGCUGCUGCAAGAGGCACUGCGCCUGGCUGCGCGCCCCACGUGGAGGCCGCCCCAGCGCAUCCCCGCCCAGCGUCUCGUCCCGCAGCAACCACACGCCCGCCGCGGCUGCCGCGCAGGUCAGCGCCCGGUGGCUGCUGCUCCGGCCCACGGCGCGCACGUCAUCCCAGCGGAAGGCCACGGGCCAGCCGCGGAAUGGGUAGGUGUAGCUGGCGGUCAGGUAGAUCUUGAACACGCGCACCAGCGCCUUCACGAAGCAGAUGACGCACAUGAGCGGUGGCCCUAACGCCCAGCCGCUGGGCCGGGAUCGCCGCGAGAGGCACAGGGCAGUCUUAGGGGAUACCGGCUCCCGGACAAGCCCUGAUGGCCUUUGUGACCUGGCCUUCCAGGGCGGAGGGAAGGCUGCAUCCUGUUGCUAGGUGAUGGGUGCACAAAGGGUUCCCAGAGAUGAUGAACCCAAGGUUCUGCCCGUCCCCCGCCUUCGCCAAGACCCCACCAGCUAAACGCUCCCAGGCCCAGCUUUCCCACCCAUGAUUUGAGCAGCUACUGUCUCCCUCUUUCUUCCUUAUUUAUUUAUUAAAUUGAGAUGGGGUCUCA
rnacentral:lncRNA from 1 species